rnacentral:rRNA from 1 species
AUUGAACGCUGGCGGUAUGCUUAACACAUGCAAGUCGAACGGUAACGACAGAGAGCUUGCUCUCUGGGCGACGAGUGGCGGACGGGUGAGUAAUAUAUAGGAACCUUCCUCAUAGUUUGGGAUAACUACUCGAAAGAGUGGCUAAUACCGGAUGUGGACUACGGUUUAAAGCAGGGAGUCUUCGGACCUUGUGCUAUGAGGUGGGCCUAUACAAGAUUAGCUAGUUGGUGAGGUAAGGGCUCACCAAGGGCGACGAUCUUUAGCUGGUUUGAGAGGGAUGAUCAGCCACACUGGGGACUGAGACACGGGCCCAGACUCCUACGGGGAGGGCAGCAGGUGGGGGGAAUAUUGGGGAC